AUACGAGGGGGGCUAGCGUUGUUCGGAAUUACUGGGCGUAAAGCGCAUGUAGGCGGACAUUUAAGUCAGGGGUGAAAUCCCGGGGCUCAACCUCGGAACUGCCUUUGAUACUGGGUGUCUAGUGUGGAAGAGGUAAGUGGAAUUCCGAGUGUAGAGGUGAAAUUCGUAGAUAUUCGGAGGAACACCAGUGGCGAAGGCGGCUUACUGGUCCAUUACUGACGCUGAGGUGCGAAAGCGUGGGGAGC
rnacentral:rRNA from 1 species